UACGGAGGGUGCAAGCGUUGUCCGGAUUUAUUGGGUUAAAGGGUGCGUAGGCGGCCUUAUAAGUCAGUGGUGAAAGCCCACAGCUCAACUGUGGAACUGCCAUUGAUACUGUAAGGCUUGAGUACAGACGAGGUAGGCGGAAUUGAUGGUGUAGCGGUGAAAUGCAUAGAUACCAUCAAGAACACCGAUUGCGUAGGCAGCUUACUAGGCUGUAACUGACGCUGAGGCACGAAAGCGUGGGGAGCGAACAGG
rnacentral:rRNA from 1 species